CAAGUCGAACGAACUCUGGUAUUGAUUGGUGCUUGCAUCAUGAUUUACAUUUGAGUGAGUGGCGAACUGGUGAGUAACACGUGGGAAACCUGCCCAGAAGCGGGGGAUAACACCUGGAAACAGAUGCUAAUACCGCAUAACAACUUGGACCGCAUGGUCCGAGCUUGAAAGAUGGCUUCGGCUAUCACUUUUGGAUGGUCCCGCGGCGUAUUAGCUAGAUGGUGGGGUAACGGCUCACCAUGGCAAUGAUACGUAGCCGACCUGAGAGGGUAAUCGGCCACAUUGGGACUGAGACACGGCCCAAACUCCUACGGGAGGCAGCAGUAGGGAAUCUUCCACAAUGGACGAAAGUCUGAUGGAGCAACGCCGCGUGAGUGAAGAAGGGUUUCGGCUCGUAAAACUCUGUUGUUAAAGAAGAACAUAUCUGAGAGUAACUGUUCAGGUAUUGACGGUAUUUAACCAGAAAGCCACGGCUAACUACGUGCCAGCAGCCGCGGUAAUACGUAGGUGGCAAGCGUUGUCCGGAUUUAUUGGGCGUAAAGCGAGCGCAGGCGGUUUUUUAAGUCUGAUGUGAAAGCCUUCGGCUCAACCGAAGAAGUGCAUCGGAAACUGGGAAACUUGAGUGCAGAAGAGGACAGUGGAACUCCAUGUGUAGCGGUGAAAUGCGUAGAUAUAUGGAAGAACACCAGUGGCGAAGGCGGCUGUCUGGUCUGUAACUGACGCUGAGGCUCGAAAGUAUGGGUAGCAAACAGGAUUAGAUACCCUGGUAGUCCAUACCGUAAACGAUGAAUGCUAAGUGUUGGAGGGUUUCCGCCCUUCAGUGCUGCAGCUAACGCAUUAAGCAUUCCGCCUGGGGAGUACGGCCGCAAGGCUGAAACUCAAAGGAAUUGACGGGGGCCCGCACAAGCGGUGGAGCAUGUGGUUUAAUUCGAAGCUACGCGAAGAACCUUACCAGGUCUUGACAUACUAUGCAAAUCUAAGAGAUUAGACGUUCCCUUCGGGGACAUGGAUACAGGUGGUGCAUGGUUGUCGUCAGCUCGUGUCGUGAGAUGUUGGGUUAAGUCCCGCAACGAGCGCAACCCUUAUUAUCAGUUGCCAGCAUUAAGUUGGGCACUCUGGUGAGACUGCCGGUGACAAACCGGAGGAAGGUGGGGAUGACGUCAAAUCAUCAUGCCCCUUAUGACCUGGGCUACACACGUGCUACAAUGGAUGGUACAACGAGUUGCGAACUCGCGAGAGUAAGCUAAUCUCUUAAAGCCAUUCUCAGUUCGGAUUGUAGGCUGCAACUCGCCUACAUGAAGUCGGAAUCGCUAGUAAUCGCGGAUCAGCAUGCCGCGGUGAAUACGUUCCCGGGCCUUGUACACACCGCCCGUCACACCAUGAGAGUUUGUAACACCCAAAGUCGGUGGGGUAACC
rnacentral:rRNA from 1 species